rnacentral:rRNA from 1 species
GAUGAACGCUGGCGGCGUGCCUAAUACAUGCAAGUCGAGCGAACGGACGAGAAGCUUGCUUCUCUGAUGUUAGCGGCGGACGGGUGAGUAACACGUGGAUAACCUACCUAUAAGACUGGGAUAACUUCGGGAAACCGGAGCUAAUACCGGAUAAUAUUUUGAAUCGCAUGGUUCAAAAGUGAAAGACGGUCUUGCUGUCACUUAUAGAUGGAUCCGCGCUGCAUUAGCUAGUUGGUAAGGUAACGGCUUACCAAGGCAACGAUGCAUAGCCGACCUGAGAGGGUGAUCGGCCACACUGGAACUGGGACACGGUCCAGACUCCUACGGGAGGCAGCAGUAGGGAAUCUUCCGCAAUGGGCGAAAGCCUGACGGAGCAACGCCGCGUGAGUGAUGAAGGUCUUCGGAUCGUAAAACUCUGUUAUUAGGGAAGAACAUAUGUGUAAGUAACUGUGCACAUCUUGACGGUACCUAAUCAGAAAGCCACGGCUAACUACGUG